CAGUAGGGAAUCUUCCACAAUGGGCGAAAGCCUGAUGGAGCAACGCCGCGUGUGUGAUGAAGGGUUUCGGCUCGUAAAACACUGUUGUAAGAGAAGAAAGACAUUGAGAGUAACUGUUCAAUGUGUGACGGUAUCUUACCAGAAAGGAACGGCUAAAUACGUGCCAG
rnacentral:rRNA from 1 species